rnacentral:rRNA from 1 species
AGGGGUCCACUUAACUUUUGGAGUCCGAACUCUCCUCCACUUUCUAACCCUGUGCAUCUGUUAAUUGGAAUAGUAGCUCUUCGGAGUGAACCACCAUUCACUUAUAAAACACAAAGUCUAUGAAUGUAUACAAAUUUAUAACAAAACAAAACUUUCAACAACGGAUCUCUUGGCUCUCGCAUCGAUGAAGAACGCAGCGAAAUGCGAUACGUAAUUCGUGAAUUGCAGAAUUCAGUGAAUCAUCGAAUCUUUGAACGCACCUUGCGCUCCUUGGUAUUCCGAGGAGCAUGCCUUGUUUGAGUGUAUCAGUGAAAUCUUCAACCCACCUCUUUCUUAGUGAAUCUGGUGGUGCUUGGUUUCUGAGCGCUGCUCUGCUUCGGCUUAGCUCGUUCGUAAUGCAUUAGCAUCCGCAACCGAACUUCGGAUUGACUUGGCGUAAUAGACUAUUCGCUGAGGAUUCUAGUUUACUAGAGCCGAGUUGGGUUAAAGGAAGCUCCUAAUCCUAAAGUCUAUUUUUUGAUUAGAUCUCAAAUCAGGUAGGACUACCCUGCUGAACUUUUAAGCAUAUCAAACCAUGGGUGGAGGAAGGCACUUUAGGGGAACUGGGACGUCAGACUUAACUUGGAGUCGAACUCUCACUUUCUAACCCUGUGCAUCUGUUAAUUGGAAUAGUAGCUCUUCGGAGUGAACACAUUCAUUAUAAAACACAAAGUCUAUGAAUGUAUACAAUUUAUACAAACAGAAGUUUCACAACGGAUCUUGGCUCUGCAUCGAUGAAGAACGCACGAAUGCGAUACGUAAUGUGAAUUGCUGAAUUCUGAAUCAUAAUCUUUGAAGCACUGGCCUCUUGGUAUUCAGGAGCAGCUGUUUGAGUGUCAUGAAUCUUCACACUCUUUUAGUGAAUCUGUGGUGGUGGGUUACUGAGCUGGUCUGCUUCGCUUACCCUCUAUUGCAUACAUCGCAACGAACUGGAUGACAACGCAUAAUAACAUUCAUGAGGAUCUAGAUUAGUAAGCCAGCCGAUUCAGAAGCAGAGCCGAAUCUAGUCUAUGUUUGGAUGAUUCAAUCGGUAGCAUCGUAACUAAGCCGCGCGGGAGGAAAA